ensembl:snoRNA SNORA44 small nucleolar RNA, H/ACA box 44
CAGCAUGUUUCCAAGGGCUGUGGCUUGUCGUGGCCAUGGGAUCUCCAACUGCAUGCGAGAGCAACGUGGAGAGACUUUGACAGCACAGGUCAGCAUAAUACCUGGAGCUGCCACUCGCCUCUCCUAUAUCU